AAUAAUCUAGGAGAUGUAUCAAAAAGGUUAUAGCUUUGAAACAGAGGCAGACAAAUUAAGUGCUAUCAUUCUUCCAUGUAGUUAAAGACUGAGAGAAUUGUUGGUUAAGCAUGUGUAUUCAAGGGUUUGAGAAAGGAUAUUGAACAGUACAAUAAUACUGAACCAGAAUAAGGUUUCAUGGAAGAUGGCAUAGGUGUGUAUAAGGGGAUGUGCCUGCCUGUCUAAUAACCUAGCCCUAAUUGCUGUAUGUAAUGGUUCCAAGCCGUUUGCCCUGUAAUGUAUGAUGCAAAGUGCUGUAAUAAGACCUUUCCCUUAUGGAAAAGGAAAAAAAAAAAAAAAAAGAACAUAUGUUAAUUUAAGUGUUUCAUUGAAGGUAAAAUGCAGGUUUGUUUGUUAUAGAGAUGGAAUCAAGGAUAGCAAAUGCUGACAAAGAGAAAAGAUGGGCAAGCAGUUUUUUGUGAUUAAUACCUAAUGGACCGGAUGAAACAAGGAAGCAAAAAUGAAGUUUAGUGGACCCUUAAUAUCCCCAGAAACUGCUACAGAAGGAGGUGUUCUGGUGAGGGUAACUAAGGUAACUGUUGAUAACAAACGCCUAUUAUUUCUGUCUCCCAGGAGCCGCACUGAGGACUAGGUAACCCAUUCUUACCCUUUGGAUAUUGUUAACUGUAUCUGCCUUAGUUUUGCUUUAGCUGUUUCUGUUUGGUGGUGUUAACUUAUAUGCGUAUACAGAACUGCAUUUGCCCAGGUUAGGGAACCAUAAUUAAAGCUUUGAGGGGGGAAAAAAAGCUCUAAAAUGAGAAUCUCCCAGUGACCUUAGUGGUUUGAUUCAUUUGCAGGAUAAUGUUCCAAGGGCCAGCAACUUGAAGAGGAGCAAUUCAACCCGUUUUCUUAAUUUCGGUGACACUGUUUUAAGGAAGCAUCGUUCAGCUUUGUGCACUGACCUGAGGUCUGGAUUUGAUACGGCACAGGCCCAUCACACUGAGAGCGGCGAUGUGACAGAGCUGAAUCCUAUUCCUGAAGGAAAAAGCAGAGGGGGUGGGCUGUCGGCUGCUCAGACACCUGCCACGUCAAGGGCAGCAGCAGGAGCUGACCCUUCCCUGACGGACCGAUGAACACUGGUGCGGAGAUGACUCUUCAGGUGUCACAGGGUAAGGGGAAGCAUGCUGGCACCGAGCUCCAUGGCAGACUGUCUCCCAGGUGUUGCUUCUGUGCAGUAAAACAAUAAACAGUUUCUUUAUUCUUUGUGCUCA